UGGGGAAUCUUGCGCAAUGCGCGAAAGCGUGACGCAGCAACGCCGCGUGUGGGAAGACGGCCUUCGGGUUGUAAACCCCUUUCAGUUGGGACGAAGCCUUGUCGGUUAAUAGCCGGUUGAGGUGACGGUACCUUCAGAAGAAGCCCCGGCUAACUACGUGCCAGCAGCCGCGGUAAUACGUAGGGGGCAAGCGUUGUCCGGAAUCAUUGGGCGUAAAGCGCGUGUAGGCGGAUUCGUAAGUCAGGUGUGAAAGCUCAGGGCUCAACCCUGAAAGUGCGCCUGAAACUGUGAAUCUAGAAUACUGGAGAGGGAAGGGGAAUUUCUCAUGUAGGGGUAAAAUCCGUAGAUAUGAGAAGGAACACCAGAGGCGAAGGCGCCUUCCUGGACAGGUAUUGACGCUGAGGCGCGAAAGCGUGGGGAGCAAACAG
rnacentral:rRNA from 1 species